GUUAUGUAAAAUUUGGAAACUACUAUUUCUUGUCUAUCACUUUUCCAUGACUGUGGACGAAAAUUACAUCAUUCUCAGUCAUGAGUGUUGAGUAUGUUGUCCUUAAAGAACUGUCUACACUCAUGAACUCAAAUUUUCUUUCCAUUCACUCUUGAUCUCAAUGCCGGUAAGUCUUCAAUUUCAGCACUCCUCCAGAGUUGUUUUUCCUCCAGAUUAUCACUAAUUUUUUUAAAUUAUACUUUAAGUUUUAGGGUACAUGUGCACAAUGUGCAGGUUAGUUACGUAUGUAUACAUGUGCCAUGCUGGUGUGCUGCACCCAGCAACUCGUCAUUUAGCAUUAGGUAUAUCUCCUAAUGCUAUCCCUCCCCGCUCCCCGCACCCCACAACAGUGCCCAGAGUGUGAUGUUCCCCCUUCCUGUGUCCAUGUGUUCUCAUUGUUCAAUUCCCACCUAUGAGUGAGAACAUGGGGUGUUUGGUUUUUUGUCCUUGCGAUAGUUUACUGAGAAUGAUGAUUUCCAAUUUCAUCCAUGUCCUUACAAAGGACAUGAACUCAUCAUUUUUUAUGGCUGCAUAGUAUUCCAUGGUGUAUAUGUGCCACAUUUUCUUAAU
rnacentral:lncRNA from 10 species